AGCGUACACGGUGGAUGCCCUGGCAGUCAGAGGCGAUGAAGGGCGUGCUAAUCUGCGAUAAGCGCCGGUAAGGUGAUAUGAACCGUUAUAACCGGCGAUACCCGAAUGGGGAAACCCAGUGUGUUUCGACACACUAUCAUUAACUGAAUCCAUAGGUUAAUGAGGCGAACCGGGGGAACUGAAACAUCUAAGUACCCCGAGGAAAAGAAAUCAACCGAGAUUCCCCCAGUAGCGGCGAGCGAACGGGGAGGAGCCCAGAGCCUGAAUCAGCAUGUGUGUUAGUGGAAGCGUCUGGAAAGGCGCGCGAUACAGGGUGACAGCCCCGUACACAAAAGCGCAUGUGCUGUGAGCUCGAUGAGUAGGGCGGGACACGUGGUAUCCUGUCUGAAUAUGGGGGGACCAUCCUCCAAGGCUAAAUACUCCUGACUGACCGAUAGUGAACCAGUACCGUGAGGGAAAGGCGAAAAGAACCCCGGCGAGGGGAGUGAAAAAGAACCUGAAACCGUGUACGUACAAGCAGUGGGAGCACAGGUUUACCUGUGUGACUGCGUACCUUUUGUAUAAUGGGUCAGCGACUUAUAUUCUGUAGCAAGGUUAACCGAAUAGGGGAGCCGGAGGGAAACCGAGUCUUAAUUGGGCGUUAAGUUGCAGGGUAUAGACCCGAAACCCGGUGAUCUAGCCAUGGGCAGGUUGAAGGUUGGGUAACACUAACUGGAGGACCGAACCGACUAAUGUUGAAAAAUUAGCGGAUGACCUGUGGCUGGGGGUGAAAGGCCAAUCAAACCGGGAGAUAGCUGGUUCUCCCCGAAAGCUAUUUAGGUAGCGCCUCGUGAAUUCAUCUCCGGGGGUAGAGCACUGUUUCGGCUAGGGGGCCAUCCCGGCUUACCAACCCGAUGCAAACUGCGAAUACCGGAGAAUGUUAUCACGGGAGACACACGGCGGGUGCUAACGUCCGUCGUGAAGAGGGAAACAACCCAGACCGCCAGCUAAGGUCCCAAAGUCAUGGUUAAGUGGGAAACGAUGUGGGAAGGCCCAGACAGCCAGGAUGUUGGCUUAGAAGCAGCCAUCAUUUAAAGAAAGCGUAAUAGCUCACUGGUCGAGUCGGCCUGCGCGGAAGAUGUAACGGGGCUAAACCAUGCACCGAAGCUGCGGCAGCGACGCUGAUGCGUUGUUGGGUAGGGGAGCGUUCUGUAAGCCUGCGAAGGUGGCCUGUGAGGGUUGCUGGAGGUAUCAGAAGUGCGAAUGCUGACAUAAGUAACGAUAAAGCGGGUGAAAAGCCCGCUCGCCGGAAGACCAAGGGUUCCUGUCCAACGUUAAUCGGGGCAGGGUGAGUCGACCCCUAAGGCGAGGCCGAAAGGCGUAGUCGAUGGGAAACGGGUUAAUAUUCCCGUACUUGGUGUUACUGCGAAGGGGGGACGGAGAAGGCUAUGUUGGCCGGGCGACGGUUGUCCCGGUUUAAGCGUGUAGGUGUGUGUUCCAGGUAAAUCCGGUUCACUUUAACACUGAGGCGUGAUGACGAGGCACUACGGUGCUGAAGCAACAAAUGCCCUGCUUCCAGGAAAAGCCUCUAAGCAUCAGGUAACAUCAAAUCGUACCCCAAACCGACACAGGUGGUCAGGUAGAGAAUACCAAGGCGCUUGAGAGAACUCGGGUGAAGGAACUAGGCAAAAUGGUGCCGUAACUUCGGGAGAAGGCACGCUGACACGUAGGUGAAGUGAUUUACUCAUGGAGCUGAAGUCAGUCGAAGAUACCAGCUGGCUGCAACUGUUUAUUAAAAACACAGCACUGUGCAAACACGAAAGUGGACGUAUACGGUGUGACGCCUGCCCGGUGCCGGAAGGUUAAUUGAUGGGGUCAGCGCAAGCGAAGCUCCUGAUCGAAGCCCCGGUAAACGGCGGCCGUAACUAUAACGGUCCUAAGGUAGCGAAAUUCCUUGUCGGGUAAGUUCCGACCUGCACGAAUGGCGUAAUGAUGGCCAGGCUGUCUCCACCCGAGACUCAGUGAAAUUGAACUCGCUGUGAAGAUGCAGUGUACCCGCGGCAAGACGGAAAGACCCCGUGAACCUUUACUAUAGCUUGACACUGAACAUUGAGCCUUGAUGUGUAGGAUAGGUGGGAGGCUUUGAAGUGUGGACGCCAGUCUGCAUGGAGCCGGCCUUGAAAUACCACCCUUUAAUGUUUGAUGUUCUAACGUGGACCCGUGAUCCGGGUUGCGGACAGUGUCUGGUGGGUAGUUUGACUGGGGCGGUCUCCUCCUAAAGAGUAACGGAGGAGCACGAAGGUUGGCUAAUCCUGGUCGGACAUCAGGAGGUUAGUGCAAUGGCAUAAGCCAGCUUGACUGCGAGCGUGACGGCGCGAGCAGGUGCGAAAGCAGGUCAUAGUGAUCCGGUGGUUCUGAAUGGAAGGGCCAUCGCUCAACGGAUAAAAGGUACUCCGGGGAUAACAGGCUGAUACCGCCCAAGAGUUCAUAUCGACGGCGGUGUUUGGCACCUCGAUGUCGGCUCAUCACAUCCUGGGGCUGAAGUAGGUCCCAAGGGUAUGGCUGUUCGCCAUUUAAAGUGGUACGCGAGCUGGGUUUAGAACGUCGUGAGACAGUUCGGUCCCUAUCUGCCGUGGGCGCUGGAGAACUGAGGGGGGCUGCUCCUAGUACGAGAGGACCGGAGUGGACGCAUCACUGGUGUUCGGGUUGUCAUGCCAAUGGCACUGCCCGGUAGCUAAAUGCGGAAGAGAUAAGUGCUGAAAGCAUCUAAGCACGAAACUUGCCCCGAGAUGAGUUCU
rnacentral:rRNA from 1 species